GCGUCAGCAGUUUUGCCACUGGGGAAUGGCUAAAUCUGUUUACCCUUGCCCUCCUAGGACAUCUGAACAAAGAUGUCGCCCCUUUCCCAUAGCAAAGUACCGGCAAUCUAGACCUUUCCAGAGAGGUUAUAGCCUGCACCGGCCUGCACUGGCCUGCGCUGACCUUUGUUCUGGGAGUUCUUUAGUUGCCCCCCGUGCCAAAAUUUCAGUCCAUCGAAAGGGAGAAAAUAGAGAAAACAUAAGAAAGGUCCAGCGCAGGCUCACCAUGGCUAUGCCAGCUGCCAGACCUCUUAUGGGCUGCCCCAGCUUCCAUCCCGUGCCUGGGCAGUGGAAGCCUGCCAAUCACGGCGGCUCUUGUGCCUUGCUGUCCUACUGCCAGUAUUUAAAGCAGCUCUCUUCAGAAGGGGAGGGACUGGAGUUUGAGGUUCCCAUGCCAGUCAAGAGGAAUGCUUUUCUCUAGCAACAAGAACCUUCUCUUCACCUCGCUGAAAUCCCAGAGUUCACUGAUCAACUUUCUUACCUGUAAUUACUUCAUGUUCAGGGGUAGAUGCUAUAGCCCCCUAACUCCAAUGACUUCCAGUUUUGUCAUUUAUUGUCUUUUUUUUGUAUAAAUGUUUGUACCCU
rnacentral:lncRNA from 1 species